AAAGUCGUAACAAGGUUUCCGUAGGUGAACCUGCGGAAGGAUCAUUACAAAUAAAGCUGGUAGGGAGGUCGGGGUCCUUGAUCUGUAAAGUGGUAGAUGCGAACAGUCCGGCUGCCUCCCGAAAUGUCUUAACAUGUCCCCCACAGCCUGAAGGCCGAAAUUACAAACCCUUGAUUAUCUAACACUUGUUGCUUUGGGGUGCUCAAAGUGCCCCAGAGGACCCAACUCUCUUGCAAUUUAGUGACGUCUGAGUACUAUAUAAUAUUUAAGA
rnacentral:misc_RNA from 1 species